UACGGGGGGGGCAAGCGUUGUUCGGAAUUACUGGGCGUAAAGGGCUCGUAGGCGGCCAACUAAGUCAUACGUGAAAUCCCUCGGCUUAACCGGGGAACUGCGUCUGAUACUGGAUGGCUUGAGAUUGGGAGAGGGAUGCGGAAUUCCAGGUGUAGCGGUGAAAUGCGUAGAUAUCUGGAGGAACACCGGUGGCGAAGGCGGCGUCCUGGACCAAUACUGACACUGAGGAGCGAAAGCCAGGGGAGCAAACGGG
rnacentral:rRNA from 1 species